UGGGGAAUAUUGCACAAUGGAGGGAACUCUGAUGCAGCGACGCCGCGUGAGUGAUGAAGGAAUUCGUUUCGUAAAACUCUGUUCUAUGGGAAGAAAAGGACUGUACCAUAGGAGAAAGCUCCGGCUAAAUACGUGCCAGCAGCCGCGGUAAUACGUAUGGAGCGAGCGUUGUCCGGAAUUAUUGGGCGUAAAGGGUGCGCAGGCGGCUUUACAAGUUGGAUGUGAAAUAUUGUGGCUCAACCACAAACGUGCAUCCAAAACUGCAAAGCUUGAGUUAAGCAGAGGUAAGUGGAAUUCCUGGUGUAGCGGUGGAAUGCGUAGAUAUCAGGAGGAAUACCGGUGGCGAAGGCGACUUACUGGACUUAAACUGACGCUCAGGCACGAAAGCGUGGGGAGCAAACAGG
rnacentral:rRNA from 1 species